rnacentral:rRNA from 1 species
GAUGAACGCUGGCGGCGUGCCUAAUACAUGCAAGUCGAACGCUGGAAAUCUAGCUUGCUAGAUUGAAGGAGUGGCGAACGGGUGAGUAAUACAUAAGCAACCUACCCACGAAGACUGGGAUAAUCUCUGGAAACGGGGACUAAUACCGGAUAGGUAAUCGGAAGGCAUCUUCUGAUUAUUAAAGGUUAAAAACACUGAUGGAUGGGCUUAUGGCGCAUUAGUUAGUUGGUGAGGUAACGGCCCACCAAGACGAUGAUGCGUAGCCGGCCUGAGAGGGUGAACGGCCACAUUGGGACUGAGACACGGCCCAGACUCCUACGGGAGGCAGCAGUAGGGAAUGUUCGGCAAUGGGGGAAACCCUGACCGAGCAACGCCGCGUGAGUGAUGACGGCCUUCGGGUUGUAAAGCUCUGUUGUAAGGGAAGAACGGUAGAUAGAGAAUAUCUAAAUGACGGUACCUUACCAGAAAGCCACGGCUAACUACGUG